UAGGGAAUCUUCCGCAAUGGGCGAAAGCUUGACGGAGCAACGCCGCGUGAGUGAUGAAGGUCUUCGGAUCGUAAAACUCUGUUAUUAGGGAAGAACAAAUGUGUAAGUAACUAUGCACGUCUUGACGGUACCUAAUCAGAAAGCCACGGCUAACUACGUGCCAGCAGCCGCGGUAAUACGUAGGUGGCAAGCGUUAUCCGGAAUUAUUGGGCGUAAAGCGCGCGUAGGCGGUUUUUUAAGUCUGAUGUGAAAGCCCACGGCUCAACCGUGGAGGGUCAUUGGAAACUGGAAAACUUGAGUGCAGAAGAGGAGAGUGGAAUUCCAUGUGUAGCGGUGAAAUGCGUAGAUAUAUGGAGGAACACCAGUGGCGAAGGCGACUCUCUGGUCUGUAACUGACGCUGAGGUUCGAAAGCGUGGGUAGCAAACAGG
rnacentral:rRNA from 1 species